UGUAGUUGCAUCUUGGGAUCAAGCUGGUGGUCACCUGCAAGGUGAGCUACUGCCUGUCCAAACCUGUUCCCUUCUCAGUGCUCCCUUGAUGCUCUUAACUAAGUGUCCUGGGGAUCUCAAGCAUUUACUCUGAAAAAAUUAGAGUACUCAAAGGAGGCUGGUCACAGGAAUACUCCAUCUAGGAAUACUGGAAUAGGACUCUGGUCUGUUUUUUUUGGUUUUCGGAACUGGGGCCAUGAUAAAGAGGCAUGGCUGGGGGCAUUCAUGUUGUGCCGCUAGAGGUGGAAUUCUUGAACUGGCUGCUGUCAAGAAGCAGUAGGUGGUCUGGGGAACGGGUUCUGAGCCCCCAGGCUGCAUGGCCCAGGUCCAGCAUUGCUCCAG
rfam:Alligator mississippiensis ScZkoYb_152, whole genome shotgun sequence.